rnacentral:rRNA from 1 species
CGAACGCUGGCGGCGUGCUUAACACAUGCAAGUCGAACGGAAAGGCCUUUUCGGAGGUACUCGAGUGGCGAACGGGUGAGUAACACGUGGGUGAUCUGCCCUGCACUCUGGGAUAAGCCUGGGAAACUGGGUCUAAUACCGGAUAGGACCGCACUUUAGUGUGUGUGGUGGAAAGUUUUUUCGGUGUAGGAUGAGCCCGCGGCCUAUCAGCUUGUUGGUGGGGUAAUGGCCUACCAAGGCGGCGACGGGUAGCCGGACUGAGAGGUUGGUCGGCCACAUUGGGACUGAGAUACGGCCCAGACUCCUACGGGAGGCAGCAGUGGGGAAUAUUGCACAAUGGGCGCAAGCCUGAUGCAGCGACGCCGCGUGGGGGAUGACGGCCUUCGGGUUGUAAACUCCUUUCGCCAGGGACGAAGCGUUUUGUGACGGUACCUGGAGAAGAAGCACCGGCUAACUACGUG